rnacentral:rRNA from 1 species
GUAGCCGGCCUGAGAGGGUGAACGGCCACAUUGGGACUGAGACACGGCCCAGACUCCUACGGGAGGCAGCAGUGGGGAAUAUUGCACAAUGGGGGAAACCCUGAUGCAGCGACGCCGCGUGAAGGAAGAAGUAUCUCGGUAUGUAAACUUCUAUCAGCAGGGAAGAAAAUGACGGUACCUGACUAAGAAGCCCCGGCUAACUCCGUGCCAGCAGCCGCGGUAAU